CUGCUGCCUUCCGUAGGAGUCUGGUCCGUGUCUCAGUACCAGUGUGGGGGACCUUCCUCUCAGAACCCCUACGCAUCGUCGGUUAGGUGGGCCGUUACCCCGCCUACUGCCUAAUGCGCCGCAUGCCCAGCCGCCACCGGAUUCCUCCUUUCGCCCGGACCGGAUGCCCGGUCCGGGCGGCAUGGGGUAUUAGGCCGGGUUUCCCCGGGUUAUCCCCCUGUGGCGGGCAGGUUCCAUACGUGUUACUCACCCGUGCGCCGGUCGCCGGCAGGUGCAGGCAA
rnacentral:rRNA from 1 species